ensembl:lncRNA
GCGGAUUCUAUAGGAGCUAGUUCAUGUCAUAGAGAUACAGUAUGAUCAUGCUAGCUGGACCGUAGUUAGCUUGUAUUCAUUGUUAGCAUGGUUGAACGGAAUGUUUGUGCUAAAAUCUGAAGAAUUUCUUGUUUGACGCACAUCGGAGCGACGUUCUUACAGCCACGUUCGCGCUUCUUCCAACUGUUAUUUGAGGGAGUAAGACGGUGAGAAGGACACGGGCACUUUCCCGAGGCGGAGUCGGGGGUGGAGGGGUGAAGAGAGGAGGCAUGGAGUGUGACGUGACCUUCUGCCACCAAGAGGAAAGAGAGACUAUGAUUGCAAGUGGACAAUACAGCUGUGUGUGUGUGUGUGUGUGUGUGUGUGUGUGUGUGUGUGUGUGUGAGAGAGAGAGAGAUUAGGAUUGAGAUGAGUCCAGGUUCAUCUUGUACUUUUACAUAAAUACAGCAUGAGCCUCUCACACACACACCUUACUGUAACACUACACUGAAUGAGACACUGUUGAGAUACCUGAGCCAACACACACACACACACACACACACACACACACGCUAUACACAGAUUGCCUGGCUAGUCCUAGCCGACACAGUGUCACAGUCCAUCCUAUGAAGCACUCCUAUUGUGUGUGUGUGUGUGUGUGUGUGUGUGUGUGUGUGUGUGUGUAUGUGUAUAAUAUAUAGGCCAGGAGGUCACACUGAAUUCCAUUGUGUGGAGAAAACAAGGCCACUGGUCAGUAACCUGAUUCUACAUGUGCGAAUGUUCGCUCCCACG